CAAGGCUUGACAUGCAUCUCUAAGCGCGUGAAAGCGCGUGACCCUUCGGGGAAUUUGCACAGGUGCUGCAUGGCCGUCGUCAGCUCGUGUCGUGAGAUGUUGGGUUAAGUCCCGCAACGAGCGCAACCCUUGUGACUAGUUGCCAGCACGUUAAGGUGGGAACUCUAGUCAGACUGCCCAGAUCAACUGGGAGGAAGGUGGGGACGACGUCAGGUCAGUAUGGCCCUUACGCCUUGGGCUGCACACGUACUACAAUGCCCAGCACAAUGAGAACCGAUACCGCGAGGUGGAGGAAAUCUGCAAAACUGGGCUCAGUUCGGAUUGGAGGCUGC
rnacentral:rRNA from 1 species